rnacentral:piRNA from 1 species
UGAAAGUGUUGCAGAACUCAGGCUUUCAAG